UUCUAGAGCGAUGCUACAGGCCACUUCUGUGUGAGAGGGCAGAGCACGGGGCGCUAUGUAACUAUCAUAGCAACAAGACCAGAGCCCUUUUCACAGCGCUGAAUUAUUACUCUGCAGUAUUUAUUUCUGCAUUUUUCGUCUGCUCCGUCGGCCACGCUGGAGGAGAUGUUAGCGAUGGCUUCGUUAACGCUGAGUCAGAAUACUCGUGUGACGUCGUGGCUGCUGAGCAAUGAAAGAAGGUAAUUGGACGGCUAUUUAGGAGGGAACCUGUUUUCUGCUAGGGAGAUACUGUAGGGAAAAAAGUGAAGAAACCUUCAGGAGAGCAACAGAGGAGGAUCCCUCUCCAGGAUGUACAGAAGAAAGAGAUUUCAUGUUACCAGAAAGAACAGAGUUACAUGAACACAUUCAAUGAAUAUGAGAUAAAGUAAGUAUAAGUUUAGAUAUGGACAACACGUCGUUAAAAGCUACAGGCAGUCCUGUGCGUGGAUGACCGCAUACUUGCUUUUAAAUUACUCUUAAUGGUUUUUAAUAUUUCUAAAUAGUAUGUUCUCACAUUGAAAAUGCUGUACUGUAACUUUGCAUUGUGUGUAUUUAUCCUACUAUGAACAAAUAUACUAUUUGUUAUUGU